UACGUAGGGGGCUAGCGUUGUCCGGAAUCAUUGGGCGUAAAGAGCGUGUAGGCGGCCCGGUAAGUCCGCUGUGAAAGUCGGGGGCUCAACCCUCGAAUGCCGGUGGAUACUGUCGGGCUAGAGUGCGGAAGAGGCGAGUGGAAUUCCCGGUGUAGCGGUGAAAUGCGCAGAUAUCGGGAGGAACACCUAUGGCGAAGGCAGGUCUCUGGGCACUUACUGACGCUGAGGAGCGAAAGCGUGGGGAGCAAACAG
rnacentral:rRNA from 1 species